CCUACGGGUGGCAGCAGUCGAGAAUCAUUCACAAUGGGGGCAAGCCUGAUGGUGCGACGCCGCGUGGGGGAAUGAAGCUCUUCGGAUUGUAAAUCCCUGUCAUGUGGGAGCACAUUAAACAGUUAGUCCCACAUGAGCAAGAGACGGCUAACUAUGUGCAAGCGGCGGCGGUAAUACGUAGGUCUCAAGCGUUGUUCGGAAUCACUGGGCGUAACGCGUGCGUAGGCGGUUACGUAAGUCGUGUGUGAAAGCCGCCGGCUCAACCCGCGGACGGCAUAUGAGACUGCUAUACUAGAGUAAUGGAGGGGGAAUCGGAAUUCUCGGUGUAGCAGUGAAAUGCGUAGAUAUCGAGAGGAACACUCGUGGCGAAGGCGGGUGCCUGGACAGUAACUGACGCUGAGGCACGAAGGCGAGGGGAGCGAAAGGGAUUAGAUACCCUAGUAGUC
rnacentral:rRNA from 1 species